GAAUUCGCCCUUAGAGUUUGAUCCUGGCUCAGGACGAACGCUGGCGGCGCGCCUAACACAUGCAAGUCGAACGAGCGAGAGAGAGCUUGCUUUCUCGAGCGAGUGGCGAACGGGUGAGUAACGCGUGAGGAACCUGCCUCAAAGAGGGGGACAACAGUUGGAAACGGCUGCUAAUACCGCAUAAGCCCACGACCCGGCAUCGGGUAGAGGGAAAAGGAGCAAUCCGCUUUGAGAUGGCCUCGCGUCCGAUUAGCUAGUUGGUGAGGUAAUGGCCCACCAAGGCAACGAUCGGUAGCCGGACUGAGAGGUUGAACGGCCACAUUGGGACUGAGACACGGCCCAGACUCCUACGGGAGGCAGCAGUGGGGAAUAUUGCACAAUGGGGGAAACCCUGAUGCAGCGACGCCGCGUGGAGGAAGAAGGUCUUCGGAUUGUAAACUCCUGUUGUUGGGGAAGAUAAUGACGGUACCCAACAAGGAAGUGACGGCUAACUACGUGCCAGCAGCCGCGGUAAAACGUAGGUCACAAGCGUUGUCCGGAAUUACUGGGUGUAAAGGGAGCGCAGGCGGGUGAUCAAGUUGGAAGUGAAAUCCAUGGGCUCAACCCAUGAACUGCUUUCAAAACUGAUUGUCUUGAGUAGUGCAGAGGUAGGCGGGAAUUCCCGGUGUAGGCGGUGGAAUGGGUAGAUAUCGGGAGGAAACACCCAGUGGGGAAGGCGGCCUUACUGGGCACCAACUGACGCUGAGGCUCGAAAGUGUGGGUAGCAAACAGGAUUAGAUACCCUGGUAGUCCACACCGUAAACGAUGAUUACUAGGUGUUGGAGGAUUGACCCCUUCAGUGCCGCAGUUAACACAAUAAGUAAUCCACCUGGGGAGUACGACCGCAAGGUUGAAACUCAAAGGAAUUGACGGGGGCCCGCACAAGCAGUGGAGUAUGUGGUUUAAUUCGACGCAACGCGAAGAACCUUACCAAGUCUUGACAUCCUGCGACGAACAUAGAAAUAUGUUUUUCCUUCGGGACGCAGAGACAGGUGGUGCAUGGUUGUCGUCAGCUCGUGUCGUGAGAUGUUGGGUUAAGUCCCGCAACGAGCGCAACCCUUAUGGUCAGUUACUACGCAAGAGGACUCUGGCCAGACUGCCGUUGACAAAACGGAGGAAGGUGGGGAUGACGUCAAAUCAUCAUGCCCUUUAUGACUUGGGCUACACACGUACUACAAUGGCGUUAAACAAAGAGAAGCAAGACCGCGAGGUGGAGCAAAACUCAGAAACAACGUCCCAGUUCGGACUGCAGGCUGCAACUCGCCUGCACGAAGUCGGAAUUGCUAGUAAUCGCAGAUCAGCAUGCUGCGGUGAAUACGUUCCCGGGCCUUGCACACACCGCCCGUCA
rnacentral:rRNA from 1 species